rnacentral:rRNA from 1 species
CCUACGGGUGGCAGCAGUGAGGAAUAUUGGUCAAUGGCCGGAAGGCUGAACCAGCCAAGCCGCGUGAAGGACGAAGGUGCCAAGCAUUGUAAACUUCUUUUGUCAAGGGACAAAAUCAGGCUCGAGAGCCUGACCGAGGGUACUUGAAGAAAAAGCAUCGGCUAACUCCGUGCCAGCAGCCGCGGUAAUACGGAGGAUGCGAGCGUUAUCCGGAUUUAUUGGGUUUAAAGGGUGCGUAGGCGGACUGUUAAGUCAGCGGUAAAAGCCCGGGGCUCAACCCCGGCGAGCCGUUGAAACUGGCUGUCGUGAGAUGUCGAGAGGUAUGCGGAAUGCGCAGUGUAGCGGUGAAAUGCUUAGAUAUUGCGCAGAACUCCGAGUGCGAAGGCAGCAUACCGGCGGCGAGCUGACGCUGAGGCACGAAAGCGUGGGUAUCGAACAGGAUUAGAUACCCGGGUAGUC